rnacentral:rRNA from 1 species
AGCUCCAAUAGCGUAUAUUAAAGUUGUUGCGGUUAAAAAGCUCGUAGUUGGAUUUCUGUCGGUGAGUGGCGGUCCGCCCUAGUGGUUGGCACACGUCACGCCACCGGCAUCCUCCUGGGGACUGUGUCUGCUCUUCACUGAGUGGCGCAUAAUCCAGGACGUUUACUUUGAGGAAAUGAGAGUGUUUCAAGCAGGCAUGUGCCGUGAAUACGUUAGCAUGGAAUAAUAGCAUCGGACCUCGCUCCAAAGCUGUUGGUUUCUUGGAAUGAGGUAAAGGUGAAUAGGGAUUGUUGGGGGGCAUUCGUAUUUAACUGUCAGAGGUGAAAUUCUUGGAUUUG